GACGAACGCUGGCGGCGUGCCUAACACAUGCAAGUCGAACGGAGAUAUGCUUCGGUAUAUCUUAGUGGCGAACGGGUGAGUAACGCGUGGGUAACCUGCCCUUUUAUCGGGGAUAACUUGCCGAAAGGUGAGCUAAUACCGGAUGUCCUAUUUCAAGCUCAUGCUUGAGAUAGCAAAGGUGGCCUCUGAAUAUGCUACCGUAAAAGGAUGGACCCGCGUCUGAUUAGCUAGUUGGUGAGGUAACGGCUCACCAAGGCGACGAUCAGCAGCCGGCCUGAGAGGGUGAACGGCCACACUGGGACUGAGACACGGCCCAGACUCCUACGGGAGGCAGCAGUGGGGAAUCUUCCGCAAUGGACGAAAGUCUGACGGAGCAACGCCGCGUGAGUGACGAAGGUCUUCGGAUUGUAAAACUCUGUUUUUUGGGACGAACGGCUCAUAUGUGAACAAUGUAUGAGAUUGACGGUACCAAAGGAGGAAGCCCCGGCUAACUACGUGCCAGCCGCCGCAGUAAGAC
rnacentral:rRNA from 1 species